rnacentral:rRNA from 1 species
GUGAGGAAUAUUGCGCAAUGGAGGCAACUCUGACGCAGCCAUGCCGCGUGCAGGAAGAAGGCGCUACGCGUUGUAAACUGCUUUUAACCGGGAAGAAACCCCAGGACGUGUCCUGGGUUGACGGUACCGGAGGAAUAAGCACCGGCUAACUUCGUGCCAGCAGCCGCGGUAAUACGAAGGGUGCAAGCGUUAUCCGGAUUCAUUGGGUUUAAAGGGUGCGUAGGCGGAGCGUUAAGUCAGUGGUGAAAUCCUGCAGCUUAACUGUAGACUUGCCAUUGAUACUGGCGCUCUUGAGUGUGCUUGAAGUGGGCGGAAUGUGCCGUGUAGCGGUGAAAUGCUUAGAUAUGGCACAGAACACCAAUUGCGAAGGCAGCUCACUAAGGCGAUACUGACGCUGAGGCACGAAAGCGUGGGGAUCGAACAGGAUUAGAAACCCCUGUAGUCC